GGGUAUAUGGCUCAGUGGUAGAGCACAUGCUUAGCAUGCACAAGGUCCUGGGUUCAAUCCCCAGUACCUCCA
rnacentral:tRNA from 1 species